UACGUAGGGGGCUAGCGUUAUCCGGAAUUACUGGGCGUAAAGGGUGCGUAGGCGGUCUUUCAAGCCAGAAGUGAAAGGCUACGGCUCAACCGCAGUAAGCUUUUGGAACUGUAAGACUUGAGUGCAGGAGAGGAGAGUGGAAUUCCUAGUGUAGCGGUGAAAUGCGUAGAUAUUAGGAGGAACACCAGUAGCGAAGGCGGCUCUCUGGACUGUAACUGACGCUGAGGCACGAAAGCGUGGGGAGCAAACAGGAUUAGAUACCCCCGUAGUCCCU
rnacentral:rRNA from 1 species